rnacentral:rRNA from 1 species
AAGUAAAAGUCGUAACAAGGUUUCCGUAGGUGAACCUGCGGAAGGAUCAUUAAUGAAUUUAAUUGACGGGGUUGUCGCUGGCCUUUCCAGGCAUGUGCACGCCUUGCUCAUAUUCAUCCCUUCUAUACCUCUGUGCACUUUUCAUAGGUUGGCUUAGUUUAAAAGGAUUGUCUUGUACGAUCUGGGCCUCUCUAUGCAUUUUAUACAAACAUCUAUGUCUUAGAAUGUCUUUAUUGCGUAACGCAUAUAAAUACAACUUUCAGCAACGGAUCUCUUGGCUCUCGCAUCGAUGAAGAACGCAGCGAAAUGCGAUAAGUAAUGUGAAUUGCAGAAUUCAGUGAAUCAUCGAAUCUUUGAACGCACCUUGCGCUCCUUGGUAUUCCGAGGAGCAUGCCUGUUUGAGUGUCAUGUUCUUCUCAGCUCCUCUCAGAUUUUUCUGUUGUUGGAGACUGGACUUGGAAGCUGCUGGAACGUCAGGUUCAGCUCUUCUUAAAUGCAUUAGUGUGAAUAUUUGUUGAAUGUUCUCCGGUGUGAUAAUUGUCUACGCUGUUUGAACUUUAGCAGAGAUUAUAUAUUCAUGCUUCAAACCGUCUUCGGACAACUUUUUGCAUUUGACCUCAAAUCAGGUAGGACUACCCGCUGAACUUAAGCAUAU